ensembl:lncRNA
CAUUUCAGCCAAGCAGCUCAUUCCUGCUUGCAGUUUGUACCAUCCAUGUUGCUGUUACUGCCUUUGUGGGAUUAGAGGGCGGCUGAAGGAGUGCCAGCAUGUACCAGCGGGUCCCAGUACAGUAGCAGUCACACCUGCCCUUUCUGCCUCCAGGAGAAGCAGGCUUUCCCUGGCUUUCUGCCUUCCUCCUAUCCUAACUCCUGCUCCUCCAAACCUGUACCAACUCCUCCUUGACAAUAAAGGUGAUGACGGAGAGAGCAGAAGGGAGCAGAGAGUCUCUGUAUUCCAUCCAGGAGGAGAAAGAUGAAGUGAUCCACAGGAUAAAAUCCAACUCUGGGAGCAGAAAAAAGUGUCCUGCCCUCUCGCAACUUCCUCACAGUGUUCUCUCUUGGUCCUCACAAAGCUCCUAUUACAUCACCAAUGGUCCCCACCCUUUCUUUCUCACACACCUCUUUCCUCUUUCCAUGCCACCACUGCUGCCCUUGCCUUCCUCCUCUGCUCCAUGGACAUUCCUGGCCAGGUUCAGCCUUGAGAAGGACCUGCUACUUUCAGUGUCUCCUCUGCCAAGACACUUCCCUGAGGUGCACAGCAAGGGCUUCAGGUGGGAAAUGACAGACGCUUUGGACUGCCAGGCCGCAACCCAGAAAAAUACUUUGGCACAGGGAGAUCUAAGCACGUGCAUCAUAGCAGGCAAACUGAAGGAAAAGUUCUGCUCUCUGAGCUACAUAAAAGAUCCUUGUUCUGAUAUUCCACAUUCACUGGAGCUCUGCAUGUGGUGGGAAGAAUGGAGGACCAGAACAGAGGCUGGAAGAAAGGUUCACUCAAAAUAAAAGGAUAAGAAGCUGGGAAGUAUGGCAACACAGAAGAAUGGAAGCAGAAUCUGUUGUUAAGAGAGAACAGAAGAAAUACCGGGAGAAAUGUUGGUGAUUCCAAUGGUGCAUCCAUCCAUUUGUUUUACCUCAGUCUCUCCUUCCCUCCUUCCCUCUAUCAUUUUUGCUCUCACUUUCUCUCUCAUGUAAGCUGUGAAGAUGUCUGGCCAUAUAAAUAUAUCUGAGAAUACAAAAUAAAGUCUCAUUAUGACACA